rnacentral:rRNA from 1 species
AUUGAACGCUGGCGGCAGGCCUAACACAUGCAAGUCGAGCGGAUGACGGGAGCUUGCUCCUUGAUUCAGCGGCGGACGGGUGAGUAAUGCCUAGGAAUCUGCCUGGUAGUGGGGGACAACGUUUCGAAAGGAACGCUAAUACCGCAUACGUCCUACGGGAGAAAGCAGGGGACCUUCAGGCCUUGCGCUAUCAGAUGAGCCUAGGUCGGAUUAGCUAGUAGGUGAGGUAAUGGCUCACCUAGGCGACGAUCCGUAACUGGUCUGAGAGGAUGAUCAGUCACACUGGAACUGAGACACGGUCCAGACUCCUACGGGAGGCAGCAGUGGGGAAUAUUGGACAAUGGGCGAAAGCCUGAUUCAGCCAUGCCGCGUGUGUGAAGAAGGUCUUCGGAUUGUAAAGCACUUUAAGUUGGGAGGAAGGGCAGUAAGCUAAUACCUUGCUGUUUUGACGUUACCGACAGAAUAAGCACCGGCUAACUCUGUGCCAGCAGCCGCCGUAACAC